rnacentral:lncRNA from 7 species
GAAUAAUUCCAGGCCACAUUCAGGCAGCCCGUUGUCGCUUGGCGCCCAGCAUGCUGCAGGUGAAGAUGGAAGCUCCAGCCCCAAGGAGGAAUAAUGCUGACCCCCAUCAGCACCAGCUCCUCACACUCAGCAGAGAUCAGGUGCUCUGGGGCAGAAAGCCCUGACUCAUGGCAAUCCAAGCUUCAGACAAAGUUGGUUGGAGCACCAUGAUCAUAAACUCCAUCAUAGAUUGGCUAUCAGCAGGAUGGAGAAGAAGUAUGUCAUAACUUCUGUAACAGACUGCAAAUGCUUUGGCCAAUGGAUUGAUGUGCCCUGUGAUUUAACAGGUGGCUGCAUGCUUCGCAGAUGAGUCGAUAUGGAGGAAGAAAGCCCUAAUUUGCUGCAUCCUUUGACUUUUCAAGUGUUGACCAAUGGGGAUGUUUCAAAAUCAUGGCUCAGAGGUACCUGGCAAAGCUCCCGUGGUGCUGCACCUUGCUGUCUCCUGCACUGAGCAGCACUGGAUGGACUAGGAGUGGCCAUCUACGUUUUUUAUUUGCAAAAACAGAAUCCCUUUCAGCACAGCCAAACUCUUCUCUUUGAGAUUCAACAUAGCCAAACUCUUCUUCUUUUUUAAUCUCUCCAUCUGCAAAGCUUCCCAAAUACUUCUGUAAGCAUUAGUUGUUGGGAAAAGAUUGGGUUCUAGCCUUGAUAAGUAGGCUUGCACAGUGCUCAUGGUGGUUGCAAUACCACCGUCUGCACUGCUAGUGAUUGAUAUCUGACAGUCAGAAUAAAUUCUCUGUAUCUGUUAGGCUGACAGAGUCAGAUCUACCCCUGUUAGUCUUCUGCAAGUGAGAGCCUCUGGAGCUCCAUGAAUGUGCACAAAUAUGAAUCUGAAGCAUCACCAUCCUUGCAUAGGAGUAUGGACUCAAUGAUCCUUAUGGGUCUCUUCCAACUUGGGAUUUGCUAUGAUUCUGUGAUUUUAUGAGUUCAAUUGUACAAGUCUAUGUAAUUAAGCAAAAGCUUCUCCUUACAAACAUCAUUUGUAAAUGCUGAUUGCAUUCAACUGAGAUGUGAAAUAUCUGUUGACAUUAACCCAAGCUUUGGCCCAGGUGAGGAGCAAAGCUCGUAGAGCUGCUCAUGGAUUUUCCUCACAUUGAAGUGUUAAAGUUGAGAAGGACUGGAAUGACUGGUACCCACUGGGAUUGCCUGGUAAGAAUGGUGUUGCCUUCCCUUCCCUUCCAGGCCUGCUGACUAUGAGUGUGAUUAAAGACAGGUCAGGAAGGGCUGCCUGCUAAUAAUUUUAUAGAGGAAAUCUCUUGCAUUAUUCAUCAGACAUAUAUGGCCUGUUCUAAGAGGAGAGAAAAUAGAGAAGCACCUUUGGUUGUAUUGUAACAUCUGCGAGUACAGCUGGUUCUUUUUCUGUGUUCCACUUAUUAUGGGCAAUUUGUAUGUUUUCUUCUCCAUCUUC